CUAAAGUUACGGAGUCUAAUGAUCUUUGAAUUAGUUAACUUUGGCCAUUUUUUAAAUUCAUAGACUAUACCCAAAAUUAUGGCCAGCCAUAUUAAAAGUAUCCAUCUUUUGUAUAGAAAGGAUUUAGCAAAAGAAUGUAUGUAGAUUAGUGCAAACUCAUUCUCACUUUUCUAAAAAAUAGUUAAACUUGAUGUCUUACAUCUGUGGACUCAGUUUUGGAUACAAAGUCUGAAAUAGUUUGUGUUAGCUAAGUAUAAAGAAGUUGAAGCAUCUUUGUAUAUUCUGUAGCUCAUACAUCCUCAUUGAAUCACUCUACUAUAGUGUAGUCUUUAAUAGUUUGUAAUGUCAUUAGAAAUAAGCUCAAGAAUUCUUAUUACUAUAGAAUAGACAUUCUAUUAAUAAGAAUAGAAAUAUUCCUAGUCAUUUGUGCAUUGAAAAGACAUUUCCCAUUUCCUGUGCUUUUCCUGACCUCAGCCAGUACAUUAGCACAUCCGUACACUGGCAGAAUUCUAACUAGGUGUUAUCACUGAUUGUGUAUCUGUAGAUUUAAUCUUUCAGACUUAGCAUCAGCAAAAGUAGGACAGUUUUCUUAGACUUUAUAUUCCAUCUAAACAUGUAUUGACAUUUUCAAGAAAGUCAUUUGAACAAAAAUCCCAACAUCAAAUACUCCAGAGAAGGCAUCUCCAGGUGCAAAUUAUGAUCAGAUUAUGGGAGAUUUAUCUUCAAGGUCACAAAAGUAUGGUGGCUUUGGGGGAAGCUGUCUCAUAGUGUCAAGUGGAACAUGGUAGUUUAUUUGGUACUCAUGCAGUGUUGUUUAUACUGAAAUACUUGAAUGUAUGUGCUCACCUGUUGUCUUUCUUCUGCCUUUUAAAAGUCUUGGAGUACAUCAUUAUAACAAAGCUAUUUUUUUUUGAUUUUACAUUGCAAAUUUUUGUUUCUCUCUAAUGAUGCAGUUUACUUCUAAGUGUGGCUUUGGUAGGAAGAGGUCAGACCUUCAAGUGGAUCACUAAAUAAUAAUCACUUACAGUAUCUACCAUUGAGUUUGUUAUAAGAUGUGUUGCUUUUGAUGGACUAUUAUGUGACUUCUGGGUCGAAGUUAGUCUUGCUCUAUAUUGGGCAAUCUAAAUUUAAGCCUUGAAGAGUGUCUAGAUUGUGCAGAAUUUCUGAUUUGUGUCUGCUCAAAACCUUCAGAAUUCAGCUUUUUUUUUUUUUUUUUUUUUUUUGGGUCAGUAAUCGGUUGACAGGCGUUAGUUAGUUGAUAAAAGUGGUAUGUUGUGGUGGGGCAUAUAGGAGGAUUAGACAUACUUUUAUUUGAAUAUAUUUGGAUAUUUUCAUAUUUUCAUCUUUAUUUGGGAUAAUUUGUCUGAUGGUAGCCUAGCUCUGCAGCUUCACAAUUAAUCCCAAACCACCAUGAAAAAUCAAAUAUCCUCUUUACCCGUGGUCCCAAUUAUGCUGGAGACUGAGGCAGGAGAAUUGCUUGAGUCUAGGAGUUUGAGUCCAGCCUGAGCAACAUAAUGAGACGCUCUAGAUAAAUCAGAACAAAGCAAAAGAACAGGAUCUGGUCAUAAGCCUAAUUCAUAUGACAACAUCAAGUAUCAGAACAAAGUAGUAAUCAUAGAGAAGUUUUUCAUAAAUAAGUUUUGAUUCAUAUUACAAUUUAAUGGGAGAAAUGAAAUUUGAAAUUUUCUUUUUUUCCCCACGAAAAUAAAAUUCAGAUGUUUACAAUUAUUCUGCGAUCUUUCCCAAAAUAGUGGCUUAAUGGCAAACCUGUCAGUAAGGACUCUGUAUCUUUCUUAGAGGUGCUGAAGGCAUUGUUGGUGCUCAGUUCAUGUUUAAUAAUAAUGUUAUUUUGGGUUGAAAUGUGGCUAGUAUACCAGGGUUAAUGCUGGUGCUUUCAGGAGAAGGGUGAUUGGCACUUUAAUCAGUGGAAAUGUUCAGAACCUUUGUCUGAAUGACUGUAUUUCCAACUGUUCAGAUUUCUCAGUUCUGGUUCAGUACCAAUUCAAAGGGGAGAGCUCCAUCUACUGAAGACCUAUUUCGGAAUGAUUUCUUCUGUUGAGUUCAGUGAUUUUCCAUUUGCACAGCUCAUUGAAUUUUUUCUGAUUUAUGAGCCCCAGUGAAGGUUAUGAUGAAACUGGCAAUUUGGUCAUUUCAAAACCAAAUUCCUUGUCAUUUUGCUUAGUGCCUAAACCGAAAGGACUUACCAGGGAGGCAUUCUUAAUUAACUCUAUUUAAUAGUCAUGUUUUGCUGGGACCUAUGUAGACAGUAAGACUGCUCUUGCUGUAGAUGGUCUUUCUUUAGUCUUCCCUAGCUUGAAUCCCCUUUCAUGUACUCACAUUGGCAUUUUAUUGGUGAUGUCAUAGAACUGCAGUGACUUUGUGUCAGAUUUAGGCUUGACUUUCAGUCUUGCUACUUUCAUUGGCUCUAGAAUAUUGUGCAAGUGACUUAAUUUUUAUAAACCUCAGAUUCCUUUUGGGGACUUACAGCCAUGUUUAAUGAGUUUGGACUUCGUCUGAAGUGCAGAAGAGUCUUUCAAGUGUUUUAAAUAGGGGAUCAUAUUUGCACUGUAGGUCAGACCAGAGAUUUUGGUACCCAGCUCGUUUAGAGAUUACCAAAGCUGGUGAGAGCUAUAUUGUCCAAGAUCAUCCACUUUCCUGGUUCAGCCCAUAGUGACUGAUCAGUGAAGCAGGUAUAAAGGCCAGGCCAUCUCAGACAGACUCCGAGUAACUUUAAAGGGCCAUACUUUCAUGACAUUGUAAUAGAGAAGAUACUUAAAGCAGAUAUAAAAAUCACAAGCCCUAAGGGACUGACUUAAAAAAAUACAUUAACUUAAAAGUCUUAAAUAUAACAAAAGACAUUAAAACAAAACAAAAUGACAGACCAUAGACUGGUAGUAUGUAUUUGAGCAAAGAGAAUUAUCCAGAAUAUGAAAGAAGUCAUACAGAUCAAUAAGAAAAGAAUAAACAACCUAAUGGAAAAUGGAAAAAGAAUAUGACUAGGCAAUUCACACAGGUAGAUGCUUGAAUGGCCAAUUAUAAAAGAUGCUUAACUUCGCUAAUAGGGAAAUGAAAAGUAAAACCCUGGUGAGAUUUCAUUUUACACCUAUUGAUUGACAAUACCUAAUAAGCUUGAUAGCACCCAAGUGUUGGCAAGGAUGAGAAGAAACAGGAACUCUUGUAUAUUACUGAUGAGAAUAAAUUACUGCAAUCUUUUUAGCAACAAUCUAGAAAUAUCUGGAAAAGUUGAAGAUGUGCAUAUUCUGUAGCUCAGCCAUUCUGCCUUUAUGUGUUAGCCUAGAAAAUAGUCAUACAUAUAAAACAAAGAGGCAUGUACAAGGAUGUUCAUUGUAGCACUAUCUACUUCAAAUAGAAAAGAAGCAGAGGCAUGGAUAAAUGUAGGAUGAUUUUUCCACCAUACAGUAGAGCUGUUAAAAUAAACAAACUAGUUGUACAUGCAUCCACAUGGAUACAUCUCAGAAACAUAACCAGGGUAGAGUAAGCUGUAAAGACUAUAUAAUAUAUGUCAUAUAACUAUUAUAUAUGUGUGAUAUACAUAUAUAUAAUGUGAUCGUACAUAUACAUGUAUGAUCAAAGUAUAAAAAAUGGGAAGAGAUGAUGAGUGGAGCUUUAGCUGUAUUUGUGUCAUUUUAUUUCUUAGAAAAAAGGCAUUAAGCAAAUCAGGCAAAAUAUUAGCAUUUGUUAAAGUUGUGGUGCUAGAUACAUAGCUGUUAUAUUAUUUUCUAUUUGUGUGCAUGUGCUAAAAUAUAGGUAUGUAUAGUCGUAGUCGACGACCUCAAAAUAAUAGUUGAUGUGAAGAGAGUAGAAAAUUUUGCCAAGGAAGAAUAAAAACAUAAUACAAGUUGCAGAAAUGCGUUGGUGCAUGCUUACAUUUUGUUGAGACCUGACAAACAGGAAAUAAAAUUUGAUGAUAAAGGUAGACAUUUGAGAAUCAUUUAUUGGUACAGGUACUAAGGAAAGGUUGUCUACAAUGUCAGAUGGUGUACAGAGGGAGCAAAUGUAGUUAAAUAAAAAACAACAAAACUUUAUAUUUGACAAUUAGCUUAUUAAUAUCCUCCUAGGAUGCAGUUUUCAUUUUAGAAGGAAGAUUCAAAGUCAAAUUGUAGGGAGAAAAGCAGACUGUGGUGUAUAUAUAUACUCUGUGAGAAAAAGAGACUGUGUUGUAGGACACAUUAAAAAUGUUGUCAAUGAAUUGAAGGAGAGAAAUAGGGCAUGAGAGGAAAAAUGGAUCUAAGAAGUUUACCUUGUGCAUCAACUUUGGUGUAGUACUUGACCAUCACCUGUGCGAACAGUUUGAAAUUUCAGAGUGGUACCACAGCAACAUCCAUCUGACUUGGAUACCCAGAGUGACAAGUUUUUAUUCAUACCUUCUCUCUUUCCUCUCUUAUUAAAAAUAUGUUAUUUGCAUAUAUGGUUGUUUUUCUAGCACUCAAAGAUCCUUUGAGUAAGGAAUAAUGGUUUCUAUACUACCACUGCCAACCACAGAAUACAGUCAGAUGCAUAAAUAAUGUAUCUUAAAAAGAACUUUAUACAGCAUGGAGAGAUUUGGUAUGUGGGAAAGCCAUGAAAAACAUGGGAAGAUGAAACAAUGUGUAAAAUACCAUCAACCCUACCUCAAGCAUGAUCAAUAAAUGUUAGUAUUCCUCAUGUCUCCUCCACUGUCAGAUAUUUGAGAAGAAAUAAUUGAGAAAAACAGUUUUAGAACACUCUGAAAGGAAUGGAGAGAAAGAGCAACAAUACACUUUUUAAAGAAGGAUGGAUGACUUUUUGCUUGCAGGGAGGGAAGAUAAGUCGAUGUUGGAGGAGAGAAGGAGCUGAAGUGACUGCCCUCUUGUUGGUAGGAGGAGGUCCUGGUGGUGUUGAAGGUAGCAAUGUGGGUAUUACAGGAAAUGAACAACUUUUGCAAUGUCUUUGGAUGAGUGAAGAUAUAAAAGACAGAUGUCUAAAUGCAUUAUCUAACAACAUUGAGGAUUCACUUGGAUUUAGAUCGUAUGAAUGAUAAGGUCUAUGUGAUUACGUGAUUUUUAUGCUUUGGAAGCUGGGAUUGAAGAAGAGCAUACAGGAUAGUAUAAUAGAAGGGAUUUGCAGGGCUAUAAGGAAAGAUUUGGUGGAUAUGUGGCAGCUUCCUUUAAAUGUUUGAACAUUUCUUUAUGGUUAAGUAAUUCUUUUAAUUCUGUUUUAUCAUAGGACAGAACUCAGGCACUAAAGAGUCAAAGAAAGUCAGAUUCCUGCCCAGUAAAAAUAAAUUACCAGUAAUUAGAGCUGUCUAAUCUUAGAAUACACUGUCUUUAGAGGUAGGGAGUUUCCUAACAAGGGAAGGAUUCAGAGAGAGGCUAGGAUGUGAAGAAGGAAGGUCUGACUGCAUGUCAACUGAAAACCUUUUAUACACUUAAGGUGUUAAAAGGUUUUAUAAUCAGAACAUUGAUGGGGUAAAAAAAAAUCUCAUUUAUAAUUAAGAGUAGAAGUAAAUGUAGUGACUGUAAGAAUCUGGGCUAGGUUAGAAUACAUGUAGUGACUAUAGUAUAGAGCUAAGGUUAGGUUCUAUUUGUAGCCAGAAUGGAGCCAAGGAUAUAAGACAAUUGGGGAAUAUCCGUGCCAUAGUUUACGUCAUUUUUUCUGCCUCUGUGCUAGUGACAUCAAGGACUAAUCAUAUAGUAAUAUGGCUUCAUACUUGCUAUGAUCCUUAACCAGUCUACCUCAUCAAUACCUUUAGGCACCAUAUUUUUUUUUACCAUCAUUUAAAAUUUCAUUUGAGAACAAGUCAUUAUAAUUGAUAAUUCUUAAACUUCUUUAAAAUAGAAAGCCAAGGAGUAUUAGUUUGUAGAUUUUGCAUGUGAAACAUUAGAAUUCUUUAUAGAUUUCCAGUUUUUGCAUGAUUUUUUCCCUCUGACAUCAAUCAAUAGAUGAAUUUUUGAUUUUAAGUGAAAACCAUACUAUUAAUAACUAAAUUAUCAUUUUUUGUUUUUGCUAAAAAGGAAGUUCAAGUAAUUCCUUUCUACCUUUUCUUCCCACUUUCAUGUCCACUUAGUAAUAGAAAGAACAUAGCAGAUUGAUCAGUUUCACUCAUCUCAUAAUGUCAUCGAACAUAUUAUGAACUUCAGGACAAGAGACAACUGUAUGUAUUGAUUCCUUUCUUGGUUCAGUGCUUUACAUAUUUAGACUAUAGGCUGCAAUCUUGGAGGAUCCCAGACUCGACACUUUUUUUUGUUGCUGUGGCACAUUAGUGCCCAGAAAUUUAGUAUUGAUUACCGUAGUUUCUCUUGCCUCAUCUGAAUGUGAAAGGAAUGGCAAAGUAGCUUGGUUCAUAACGUUGGCCAGUUAGCUCUUUUUGCUUAGUGAGGUUGUGCAGUGGUUUUGGAGAAUACUAAAUAAUCAGUCUCAGAAUUACUUUCACAUUAUUCUGCUGAGAUACUGUUGAAUUAAAGUCACAGUGUUCAUGGAAAAUAAUGUGUCAGAAAUUACUAAGAAGAAUGUCUGAAACGUGCACAGGUUGUGAAGUGCUGAAGAGAAAAAAAUGGGUCAGCGCAUUGAUUCUCUUGGGGUAAGGUUGGGUGCCACAUUCUUUAAGGGACGAUAACUGAAGCUCUAGUUAAAACGUUUCUAAAUAUACACUACCCACCUCCUGAGGUUCAGGUGUAGUUGUCACCUCCAGGGUUUGUCGUUUUCCUUUAUUCUUCUGUGCAUAACUCUGUGUAUUCACUACUUGUAACUACUUUUAGGGUUACUGCGGAUAUUGUUAUAUAUAAAAUGAAUUGGUGAAUAUACUCUGAGGCUGGGAGACCACUGUAAUUGAUUGGUCAGGUAUUUUAUAGCAAACUUUUAUGCAGGAUAUAGGAUUAGAUAAAGCCUUCAUACAUGGUAAGCUUUCAGAAUUUAAAUUAAAAAUGAAAAAAUAAAUGGAGAUUUAUGGGAAUAUAUUGUAAGGAUGACAGAUAAUUUCAGUGGUGAGAAAAAGGUCAUCUUGACUAUGUUUGAAAGUCAUAAAGUGGUUCAGUAUGAUAUUCUUGGUGUAAGUGCAUUCAAGGAGUGUUGUACAACAGAGGAGACAUCCUCUGAAUAACUGUUAUUUCAAGAGGCUGGAUGUGUAGGCAGAAUUAAAGAAGGUAGAAGUGGAGAAAUGAUUUCAAAAAAAUAACAAGGUGGUUUCAAUUUGAGAGACAUUAGAUGAAUCAUCUAAUGAGAAUUUUGGGUGAUUAUGGACUUGCAGCAGUACCAGCAGCAGAUGAGCUGAUGUAUGGUUAAUAGGACUGAAGAAAUGUCAAGGAAGAGGAGGAAAGGAGACUCAUGGCAUGGGACAGAUUAAAGACAUAUUUACAGUGCAGUGAUGGAACAAGUUUGAAAUUCUCCAGUUCUUCAAGCUGGUAUUUAUGAUUAAAAGAAUUAAGCAGUCAAUUUUGAGAACUAACAGUAAAAGAAUUGACCACCUGACUGGUAUUUUGAAGUGAAGUAGAUUUAAAGGGAUAAAAUCUGUAUGAUGGGAGAUCAGGAAGGUAACAGUGGUACAUUCAUACACAGCCAACACUCAGGUUUAUUUGAGUAUUGUUCUGGGGAGCCAUGGAGUAUAUGGUUUGUGUUGUGAGGGGAUCAUAGUCUGAGUGGCACAGGGAUAAUAUCAAAGGCCAACCCAAACAGAAGACAGCAAAUGUUGGUGGGCCAAAUGAAUGUUAGUGCUGUUUGAAGUGUGAAUCCCAGAUCCCUGGCCCCAACCCAGACUGACUCUUGUUAUUUUCCUGUGGCUGCCUACAAAUUACCACAAACUUAGUGAUUUAAAAUAGCACACACUUAUUAUCUUACAGUUUCUCUGGGUCAGGAGUCCGGGAUGCUUAGAUGGCUCCUUUGCUUCAGGGUCUCUUACCAUGCUGCAGUCAAGGUGUUAGCCAGGGCUGGGUUCACCUCAGAGGCUCCUAUGGGGGAAGAGUCUGCUUCUAAGCUCCGGCAAUUGUUGGCUGAGUUCUUUUCCUUGCUGCUCCAGAUUCAUGACAACUUGCUUCUUGAAAGCCAGCAGUGGGGUUGGUGGGAGGAGGUCUGCUAGUUUCAGAGUCUUCUAUAGUGUCAUGUGACAGCCCAUCAUCUUUGCCAUAUUCUGUUGGUUAAAAGCAAGUCACAGUUCCCUCCUACACUGAAGGGGAGGUAAACACACAAAAGCAUGGAUAGUGGAAGGUGGGGAUUAUGGGGCCUCUGUAAAGUCUUGUCUGUGACACCUACUGAGUCAGAAUCCACGUUUCAACUACAUUCCCUAGGCGAUUACGUUUUUUUUGUUUUGUUUUUUGUUUUCUUUUUUUUCUUUGACAAUUACAUUUUAAGAAACUGUUAUAGAUGGUAGGUGCCAACGAAGUUUGAUUUAGAGGGAGAAGAAAGGUCUUUGGGCUUGAACUGACCAGGUGAAUUGUUUAAUGGGCAGUAAAAUAAUUUGUUGUGUAAAAGCUUAUUCACAUCAGGGAAUUUUUGUUAUUCUUUCUCCCUGCCACUUCUGCUUGAGUAUAGCGUUUUUCACUUUUGUAGUGCUGUUGAACUCUCUGAGAGAGUUUGUAAUUUCCUAACUCGGGCUUAAAAACAAAAAAGAAAUGUUCCUUUCCCUUUCACAAUUCCAUUUUGGUAAUAGGGGUUGGUGGAAAGUAAUUAAUGGACAUGGCUCUGGCUUAAUAGCAGAGCAAUCUUGGGAAAGACAUUGAACUGUCCUUAGCAUCAAUUAUUUUGUAUGUAAGUUAUAAGUUAAUAUGUAGAUUUAGAAUUAUGUGUUAUAUCAAUUCUUUGGAUUUGUAUCAAUUCUUUUGUAUGUUGUGUCAUUCUUCUCGUACAUUCCCUGUAAGAUACAACUUAAAUUUGCCUUUAAGUUGUACGAAUUGAGUGAGUUAAGUGAAAGUUCUUGGUAAAAUGUAAAGCAUUAUAUAAUGUUGUAGUGGACUCGUUUUUUUGUAAUGCCUUAUUCAUAGUGCUGCCCUCUUCCUACCCAUAGAAGUGUGUACCCAAAAGUCAUGAUUGUUCCUUGAUUCUGUCUGACUGCAGUCCAUCAGAGAAGGCAUGGAUGACUGAUCCAAACUGGGUCACACAGAUUCUCUAUCUUGGAAAUUUGGAUUGGGACCAAAUGAUGACACUUUAGUUCUUGCUGAUCUAACGUAUAGGUAUUAGAAACCAAGGAAGCUGUGGUGCAGCUGACUUCUGCUGUGAGAAGCAGAGACUGCUCCUUGCAGAGGACAGAGGGAACUCGGAUCUGAAGAGAGGAGGAAAGUUAUGAGAAAGAGGGCUCACUGCUGGGGACCUCUCUGCUUUUGAUUUUUCUGCUUGCUUUUCUGGGUCUUGGCAGCAUUUUUGCCUUUAAGUUGUAUAACGCAUAAUUCUAAAUCUACAUAUUAAUAACAAUUUUCCCUCUUUUGUUCAAGCUAUUUUGAGUUGUUUUCUGUUACUUUCAACUAGAGAGCUGAAAUGUAAGUCAGUAAGUGUGCACUUAAAUAUUAUUAAAAAUCUCCUAACUACUCAUUCAUUUUUCCUGCAAUGCCUACAUAAUUUGUUUUUAAAGGCCAAUUAUAUUUCUUCAUUCAUUGAAUAGUCAUCCAGCAUUUUUUCAGGAUACUUUACGAAUGCCAUAAUGAAGAAUAUGAUCCUUGCCCUGAAGCAAUUUUUUAAUUUACUAAGAGAGAUAGACAUUUAAAUGAUACCUAUAAUACUAGACAGAAUAAAGAAAUAAGUACUAUGUGCAAUUCAUUUGAGGUAACUUUUAUUUUAUGCUCAGUAACCUCAUUGAAGAUCGUUAAAAAUUUAAUUUUUUUUGCAAAUAACUGAGCCCUUUUGUCCCUGAUUGAUGAUAAGGUCCUGACAUGCUUUUGGACCCAUCAUUUUUGCCUGUGUCUCUGAACAUGGCCGGUAGGCUGGGCAGUCUGGCUAUAUAUGCCUUUCUUCAUUAAGUAGGCAGAGGAAAAUACAGUGAGGUAGGCCAAACUGAAAACAAAACAGAAGUUCAGAUCGGAGAUUUAAAAAAACUUGCUUAGUGAAGUUAUUUGAUGAUUUGACUAAGUCAUCCUUUUGCUCUGGGGUGAUUUCCGUAUUUAAGAUUUGUUUUAGAGGUUCUGUCUUCCCUAGAGCUUACAUUGUGUAUAAAAAGGGUACUUAUAUACCUUACAUUAUAUAAUAAAUAAAGAGGAUACUGAUACUGCUUGUAUUGCAUAAUAGAAAGGGUGCCUAACAUAAGAGUUCUUAUGUUGGCAUUACAUAAUAAAAUUGGUGCUUAAAUUAGAUGGGAGCCAGUGAAAUUAUAGUCAAACGGCAUGAGGCUGAUUUUAGAACUGCAUUUUCUUAACAUGGAGGUUAUGUAGGUUACAUGUUUUACUGGCUCAUGCAGCUCUUCAAAAUGACCCAGUUCAGAAUGACAUUCAACUUAGAGCUGAUUGAAAUGGGCAUUGGUGGAAAAUCCCUUGGGGAUUUAUGGAACAAUUAAAAAAAACUUAGCAAUCUCAUUCUUUUUAAUAAUAGAAAAAAAUCCGUAGUUAGAAUUUUAGAGAAGUAUGUGAAGGUUUUAUCUUACUACAGAAAUUGUGGGAAAUGCUUACUUUUUAAAAGGAGAAAGGGAAAGAAUCUCAUUUUGAAAAUUAUCAUGAGGUAAAGUAAUAGAAUUAACGGAGCAAUCCAAAAUGAGCUAAAUAAGUUUCUUUGUGAGAAUUCUUCUAGAGAUUAAUUCUAGAAUUCUUCUAGAGACUUCAUAAUAUAUGGUAAAACUAAUAUUGCUGUUUAGAUAUUCUGUAUCGCCUUUUGUCCUCACUUUAGGUAAGCCGUAUGUAGUUUCUCAUAGCACUCUCUUACAUCACUUUGCUCAUUUGGUGAUUGUGUAGGUGUGAGUAUGUGCACAUUUGUAGACUUUUGUCAGUUUCCUUCCUGCUAAAUUUUAAGCUCAUUGAGAGUAAGAACCAUGUGAUUAGCUUGUUAUCAUUAUGCACCCUAUGCCUACUGCUGUUCUUGGACGUAAUAGGUGUUUACUAACUACUGAAUGAAUAAAUGAGCAUUUCCAUAACCUUGUGCCCUACAAGCAUUACUCAUAAAAAUAUAUGCCUGAAAUGUUUAGAGGUAACAUUAUUUUUAGGGUCAGAAUAUGGUAUAUUCGAUGUGAGGUUUAGCACUACGAAUAAAGUCAGUAAAUAAUCCAUAAAAAUGUGAUCAGCUUGAUUCUUGUUUCUUAAAUUCUCUCAGAGAGCAGCUAAACUUAGAGAGGGGGUUCAAUAGAUGGGGCAUUUAAAAUCUUUAGCCUGUGACUUGGCAAAUAACUACCAAAAUUCUCUGGAGACAAGGCAUCUAGAAACUAGGUUGGCUAGCACACAGAAAACGUUAGGGGAGUUUCCAAAGCUUCAGACUACGUUAGUGAUGGCAACCAGUUCAGUAAGGAAGCAACAAUAUUUUCCUAGGGCCAGAGCUCAGAAUGGGGAGACACUGCCAUGAUACUCUCUGAGGAAGGGCAUGGGCUCAAUGGACUCCAGUUCCAGUUCGCAGGGAGAGGAACUUCAAAGACAGUGAGCUGAGCAGCCAUGGAAGCUGCAGGGAAUAGGGAGAUGUUGGUAGGGAGUUAGGUUUUCAGGGAAGGAUGGAAUAUAGAAGUUGGUAGACUGGGGAAUGUAAACCAAAAAUAAAAUUCUAAAGCCUCCAAUCAUCUGAAUGGACUUCAUGCUCAGCUAAUUUACUCUUAAAAUAUAAUCUGAAAGACUGGUUCAAGUCAUGACUGGAACACGGGGAGUUGGACAUGUUCCAUUAUACCCAUCAGAUGGUGUGAACAUCAGCACAGACUGUAAGUCUGAUGAGAAGCAUUUGACAACCUCUUCUCUCUGAAGGCUACUACCUGAAGGCUUCCUCUGCAAAUAAGAACUUUGAUCUCUACAGUCCUUUCUCUUAACCCAGCCAUUCCUAUCUGUUGAUCCCACGUGUUUAGAUGAACUCAACCAAUUGUCAAUCAGAAAAAUUUUAAAAUCUGCCUGUAAGCUGGAAGACCCUGCUUUAAGGUGUCCUGCCUUUCUGGACCAAAUCGUUACAUUUCUUAAAUGUAUUUGACAUGCCUCCCUGAAAUGUAUAAAACCAAACAGCACCCCAACUACCUUGGGCACAUGUUCUCAGGAUCUCCUGAGGGCUGUGGUACGAGUCAGGGCCACUAAUAUUUGGCUUGGAAUAUCUCUCAUCAAAUAUUUUACAGAGUUUGAUUCUUUUCAUCUACAGGAAGGAGACAGUCAGUACCUCUUUCCCAUAGAUUUUUUCUCUGUUUCUGGUAAUGAUGUUUUUGGUGUUAGAUAAUUCAGCCUUGGCUAUUCUAUGUUCAUCUUAAGGUUGGUAACAUCAUGCCCCAGUUGGGGGUUAUAUGUCUGUGAUUGCCCCAGAAGCAGCUCUGUCUCUAAUGCCUGCAGCUGGCUCUGAAUCUGUCAAGGAAAGAGCAAGUAAAUAUUUUCUUACAAAUAUAAAAGGAAGAGUUAAACACUUGUUGUUUGGAAACCAAGCUGAUAAGCAUAUUAUAUUGUCUGAGGCCCCAGAAAUAAGCAAAUUAAUUACAUGCAAAUAACUGUUGCUCAUGAACUGUGGGAUAAUAAUAGUAUCUGUUUGGAUGUUUAUGGCAAAUUUAUUUACAUGGCUCAAUUUUCCCCUAAUUUUCCUGUGGAAAAUAAUAAAUAUUGGUUCCUUUUGCCUUUCUGUUAGAAACACUUUAUUGAAAUUGUGAAAGCUAUUACCAUGUCUUGCUAUCUUUGCUUUGCCAAGGGCAAUUUUAAAGACAGUAUUUUUAAAUACAUGGUGAAGAAAGUACUAUUAAUAUAUGUGAGUUCUUUCUGCUGUAAACAAAUGGUUGUCAUCACCAACAUCAUUAUAUAAUACAGAGGUUCUUAUUAUUGAAUGUUAACAUUCAAUAGUUCAAGCCCAGUUGACUUUCUGUUGAUCUUUUUCAUGAACAUCUUUCGAUGUCUGCUUCUUGCUGAGCUUCAGACAUUUCCUCUCUUAAGGAGAAACUGGGAAUUGAGCAGUUUAUAUUGACAGUGUGACCCAUGGUCUCUGUCUUUUUCACUAAUGAGUAAUUGGAUUCACGUUGAGAAGAUGGCUCUAAACUAUGCCUAGUGCUCCAUAUGCUGUAAAGGAACCUUAGCAUCCAAUGUAAUUCUCUUGAUCCUUGCGUGCGCGCGCGCGUGUGUGUGUGUGUGUGUGUGUGUGUGUGUGUGUGUGUGAGAGAGAGAUAUCAAAGGUGACUUGAUGAGUUAUUUUUUUUUCCAACAUAAUCAAUUUUUACAGUUCAUUAACUUGGAUUGUGUGUCAGGCGCCUCAUAAGCGACAGAACAUCUUUAGUUGGAAUGUAGGCUGGGCUUUUUCCACUUCAAGCCUUUAUUACUAGGGUGAUACACAGCUCUACUAGGUUACUAUUUUAUUUGUUUGCUGUCUAUAUGCUAAGUCUCAGGCAUUGAUACCACCUCUGUGCAUUUUCAUCAACAAUCCUGACAUUUUGACAUGACAAUCUUGAAUUAUCUUAUGGAAUGCCAGAGACACCAUGAUCUGUUGUUCACAAAACAGGAAGUAAAAUGGAAAUGGACCCUGUUUUAAUUUUUGGUAAAGCAGGAAUUUUAACAUCCAGUAAGAAAGGAAAUCAGAGCAAUUUGUAUCUUGGAUUAAUUUUUAUCAGCUACUCUCCAACCUCGUUUUUGCCAUCUAUAAGUGUAUUGGGGUGCAGGGAGAUGAGAAAUGGGGUUGUCACAGGCAGAUUGAACCACCAAAUUCUGUAUUCUAUAAAUGAACAUCUUGCUUUUGCAAGGACUCUAUUUGCCGGUUUUCUCCAUCAAUUGCCAUGGUAGAGAUGUGAGUUUGGGAAGCUGGUGGCCAAAUACUUUCUUACUGUAUUUCCAAUGGGUGAGGGGGUGGUACCACACACACCUUGAGAGUUCCAUUGUUCUUCCUUUCAGUUUGAGGUUCCCAUGUAGAAAAAUUAUACUGCAUUUUAGUAAUCUGAUUAACAGAAGGAGAAAAAUCAAUUGGUAGAUUUUGAGGAGAGAAUCAAUUUCCUUAUUAUAGAAAAAGAUGAGAGACAUAACUACCUUGUGUUUGCAAAUUAUUUGCUUUCAGUCUGUGAUGCUUUCAAGAGUUUGAGAAAUAGGGUUUUUAACUUCUCAACUUAUGACUGAUAGGAUCAUGGUAAAAGUGCUCCAGCCUAAUGGAAGCUUAAAAAUGCAGCUCUCAAAAUUGCUGGAUCACACUUGACAGUGAUUUGUAUGUCUACGGAUUAUUAAACCUCAGCAUAGAGAAUGUCCUGAUUUAAAAUUUUUCAAUUUUAUUCACUUGGUCUGAUGUGAGGAGCAGCCAUCCUUCCUGUUGUCUUGUGUAGUUGAAUAUAAAUUUCUCAGCUACAGUUAAAUUUCUGGGUAAGGCCAACCACACUGAGCUUUAGGGAUUUCUUUUCCCUUGGACUUCUGAAUCAGAGAAUUGCUAACAUUUCACCUUUGACUUUGUUCUCUAUUGACAGUACCCAUGAGCAUUUGCCACCAAGUGGAACACAUGCCUUAGAGUGAUCAGGAAGAAGCAAGUCAGAACAAAUGAUAAUCACUCUGUGCUAAUCUUCUCCUCUCUCUCCUCUCUCCUUUCUCCUUCUCCUCUCUCCUCCUCUCCUGUCCUGUCCUAUUUUUAUUUUAUUGUAAUCCUUGGAGCUUAUCCAGCUUUGGUUAGUUAUGCACAAACUCAGUGCUUAGAAAUUUGCUGUUGUAGAAUUUAUAAAUCAGGAAACAGAUUCAAUAGUUGUGGCUUGAAGACUUAUUUAGUAUAGUAUUCGGGUUCCUUCAGUUAUAUUUUACAUUAGUGUAUUUUCUGGUAUGCUACUUUUUUGCUUUUACACCACAAACAUCUAUUGGUGCUUAUUGUAGAUAAAUUUUGAGCCAGGGUAUACCAGGACUCAUUAAAGUUAAUUUUGGUAAAAUUCGCUUGCAGUAUCAUCAUUUUUCUUAUUUUUGUGUGUGUGUGUUUUCUUUUCCCCUUUUUCCUGGAUCAAAAGUUACCUUAUGAAUUUAUACAAAUGUGUAGAUGAGAAAAUUCUAAUCAUAAUGAGUCAAAAGUUUUGGAAAGGGGGUUUUGGAAAUAUUGAUGCCUUGGAGGGACUGAAGUUGCAGGGAAAGUAUUAAGCAAGAGAGGCAUGGCUUGAGAAUAGGGAUUGAAGUGAUUAACAGCAUGGGUUGGGAGAACACUGAUGAAGGAGAAGUAGCGAGGAUAUUGAUUUAGUAAGUGAAAGGGCACUGAAACAAUGAAGUCUUAGAAUAUUAGAGAAAGAAUUGAUGGAAACAUGACUUUUCAUGUUUUGUUUGAUACCAUUUUAAUGAUGUUUAUUUUGGAUCUAAAAUAAUAAACCAAGUAUAAGACUGCUUUGAAAUCAUAUUCUGAACAUUCUUUUAAACAUUUCACUAGCAAUUCAUCUGCUCUCUAUUUUAAUAUGCUGUUUUCUAACUUUGCUAAGAUAAUUGAUUCUGUUACAUAUUAGGACGUAAAUUUUUUCCGUAAGUUUAAAUUUUUUAAAAUUAAAAACAUCGAGAUACAAUUCACAUACAAUAAAAUUCACCAUUUUAAAUAAUAUAACUUAGCAGUUUUUAGUAUAUUCACAAGGUUGUCAAACUAUCACCACUGUCUAAUUCCAGAACAUAUUUGUCACUCCAGAAAGAAAACUGGCCAUUAGCAAUCACUCACCAUUACCAGUCACCCCCAUUCCUGCUUCUCUUCAGCCUUUGGCAGUCACCAGUCUAUUUUCUGUCUCUGUAGAUUUGUCUAUUCUGGACAUCCGUGUUACAGCAUGGCAGUACCUGAUUUCUUUUUAUUGCUUAAUAAUGAGAUGCAAGAAUUCCCUUGACCCCCUCAUGGGACUUGUGACAGGGGUGUGGCUCACUUACUGGGCUGUAGCUGCACUCAAACCUCUUACAGGAGUGGGAGCAUGCAGAUGAGUUGGUGCCAGGGCUGGGGCAAGUGCUUUUGGGCUCCUGCCCCACAUUAGCAUCUAGGGGUUUGGUACAAUUAAUGCUCUUUUAGCAGUUGUCAUCCGUGGACAGCUAAGUGUUAACCAACUCAGUGGAGAGUCAGGGUGACAGCCUUUACACCCUGCCCUCUAGGUAACAGUUCCUGCCCAGCAUUCCAGAAGAAUCAGGUUACAUGGACUUGAGGGAUGUGGAGAUUUUAUUGAGUGAUGGAAGUGGCUGUAAGCGAGAUGGGGAGCUGGAAAGGAGAUGGAGUGGGAAGAGGAUCUUCCCUCAUCUCCGACCGCUCCCAGCCGAGCUCCUCUCAACAUUCAGAUGUUUCUUUUCUUCUCUCCCCUGCUGUGCUGCUCUGUUCUUCUGCUAGUGGUGUUUGGGGUUUUUAUGGGUAUAGGAUAUGGGACAUGGUGGGCCAGGGUGGUUUUGGAAAAAGCAACAUUUGCGUGAGAAAACAGGGAUAACUCUUCUCAUUUAGGGCCUUGGUUUCCAGGCUUGAGGGUGGGGCCUUUGCUGGGGAACUGCCUUCAUUUAUCUGAAAUUUCCUUGCCUCCUGUCCUUAUUAUUAUUAUGUUAUGUGGACAUUUUUUUUAUCCAUUCAUCAGUUGGUGGACAUCUGGUUGAUUCCACAUUUUGGCUGUAAUGAAUACGGCUGCUGCUAUAAAAAUUUGUAUGCAAGUAUUUAUGUGAAUAUUUGUUUACAGUUUUACUAUACCUAGGAAUGGAAUUGUUGGGUCAUAUAGUAACUCUGCGUUUAAUUUUUUGAGAAACUGCCAAACUGUUUUCCAAAUUGGCUGUACUAUUUUAUAUUCCACCACACAUAUUGGGCAUAUUAUUUGAAAUGUAACUGAUAUCCUAACAAAAAAUAGAUUUACCCUUUCUAUCUUGCCUUUUGGACAUCAUGUAUACUGGAAUGAGUUAUUGUCUGAUACUUUGAAAGACCAUAAAAUUGUAGAGCUUGAGAGGUUUUAAUGAAUCUGUCUUUCUACUGGAAUGGAAAACCCCUGAGGUCAGGCACCUUGUCCAUUUUGUUCACUUCUGUGUACAAUCCACCUGUGUCAGCACUGUAAAUACUAGAUGCUCAGCAAAUUUUACUGAAUAAAUGAAUCUAAUCAAACCCCUAUGUUUUAUAAUGGAAAAAAAAAUGAUGCCCAGAUGUCAGGUAACUUUCUAAAGAUCACUAAGGGAUUUAAUGACAGAACAAGGACUAGAAUUACGGUUCUGAUUUCCUUGCCAAAUUCUUGCCGUCACAGUCAUGUUGAAUUCACUGUUCUUCCUGAACUUAGUGGUCCAUUGCUGACCUGAUACAGAAUUUUCUGAGAGUUUUAUAGCUGUGCUUUCGGAGUUUAUUGACAUUUAAUGGGUGUUUUUGUUCUUGUGAAGUCAUUUACAUGUUUACUGCUGAGGCCAGCAUUCAUAACAAGAAAAAAAAAUUUAAAUAACUGUAUUUUACUCAGGGAAGAUAAAUUACAGUUGCCUAUCAAUAAAUAGAUAACUUUCAUUGCUGCCAAGAUUAUUAGAUUGUGGAAGGCAAUAAAUUUGUACUCUCCCAUGUGAGUCCCUUGCCUUAAAAAAUUCACAACUAAUUAUCUGAAAGUGAGACAGGUUAGUGCGGGUUUGCUAUCUACUAAUAUUCUUUUCUAAUCACCCUUUGGGAAGGGAUGGAAGAAUCCAUUUUAUCAGUCUUUCCUUCUUAGUCUGCUCUUCCAGAGUAAUAUAUGUGUAAAUUAAAUGUAGCAUAGUUUACGUAAGCAUAGAUUACCCUGUAUCUGAGGCAUUGUUCUUAGACCCACAUUUGCAUGUUAAGUAGAGUUGUGUGCCAUGAGGGAUAGGUUUAUAGACUGGGCCCGUAAUGAAGUUGAGAAUCAUUGUGCAAAAGCUGUAGACUGCAGGUAGACAUCUAGAGCCUUUGAAUGUGGAGAGCAUGUAUUUCACUUCCUUUUGCCAAAGACUUUAUUUUAUAAGGCUUUAUGGGAAACAGUGUGAUCAAUUACUUUAGUUAAAACCUAUUCCAGGAAGCAGACUAUUAAGAUACUACUUGAAAGUAGUAAAAUUUCCCCCAUUUUGUAACUUUUGACCUACUGAUUGAUACCUGGUAUUUAACAUGUUUAAAACAUUCCUGAAUUUUGUUGUAUCUGUGAGACAUAUCCUAGGGAGGAUCAUAAGUCUAUUAUGAUCAUAAUUAUGUUUCUGGUUUACUCUAUCCCUUUAGUGUUGGGAGUUGAGAAUGGGAGAAUAUAAAAUAAUCCUUUUGGUUCAGGUAAAAAAGGCAUUUUUAGAGAGUUAGCAUGGGAUAGUCAGGAAAGAAAAGACAAAACAUGCUUUUAUGUGGAAGAUUCGUGUUCAAAUUUUGGCUUUACAUCUAAUUAGUUAUAUAAUCUUAACUUUAUCAAGGCUCACUUUACUCAUUUGUAAAAUGUGAAUAAUAAUAAUAAUAAUCCCUACCUUACAACAUAGCUUUGUAUUUGGUAAGCUAAUGUAUGGGACACGUAGUAGGCAUUUAAUAGCUGAUAGUGAAAUAUGAACCUGGGGUUCAUUGGACCUUCUUAAUAAAAUUUGGUAAACAGAUAUAUAAGUAUUACAUACAUAUUCCUCUCCCCCCUUUAUAUUGCCAUCUCAUAUCUUGUUUCCAGUAGGAUUUAACUGAUAUGUGGUUGUCAAGUUAACUUUUAAAUGUAUGUAGAUAGAGCCUUUUAAAGUUAUCUUAAAAUGUUGUUCACUGUAAAGCUUCAUAAAUAGCUGCUCUAAAUCUGUUUGUCAAGUGCUUUCUACUCUUUUUCAGUUUCUGCUAAUGCCACUACUAUUGCAUACUGCAUUAUCCAAGUCGGAAACCUUGGCAUGAUCUUUCCUGCUUUCUUUUUUCUUUGUAAUUCUGCUGUCUAGCGGGCUAUUUCUAUGCAAAACUAACACUGCAUAAAAUAUUGUCGAUGCUGAUCUGAUGUAAGGUAGACAGCUUAGCAAGUACAUGGACUUGAAACACUAGAGUACAUUAAGUAGCACUCUAUAGCUGUAAUGUAUUAUCCUUUGUCAACAGAUUUCUGAGACAUCAAUGAAACUCCUAAUCAUGUCCAUUUAUACAAUAUAAUACCAAUUUUACAGUUUUUUCUGCUUAAUUCUUAUCUUCUAAUGGUACUAUAAAUGGCAGACUUAAAUAAAACUACGAUUUAUUUACUUAGAUGAUGAGCUCUUGUUAUUCCGUAAGCAGCAGGAUACCAGAUGUGGUAAACAGAUAACCUCUAGCAGCCUGAAUGGAAGAUUGUGGUAGAUUGGAUUAUUGUUCAGCAAAUAUUCAUUCCCUUACGCAUCCACCCCCACCAGCCCCCCACCCAACUGAUAAGAGCAGUGUGUUUUCUCAUCCCAUUGCUAUUGGGCUUGGUCAUGUGACUUGCUGUGACCAACUGAAUGUUAGCAAAUAUGCCUCUAGCAAAGGCUUGAAAUAUGCUUGUGCAAUUGGACUUGGUCUUUGCACUUCUAUUGUUUUCCAUGAGAAGAACAUGCUUCUAGUAGCUGCUAAUUCAAGCACUGGCUCUGGACCUGAUCUGCAGCUUGAUACCAAGCCCAGUGUAGUCCAGCCUACGGCCAAGUCCUAGAUAACGAGUGUGUAUGUGAGCAAGGAAAAUACACUGGUUGUAUGCUGCGUUUUGAGGUGGUUUGUUACUCAGUGUUGUUGAAGUAGCCAACAAAUACAAAAGGAUACUCAUUUCUUUUAAAGACUUUCUUUGGGCACUGUUUUGGGAGCUGUAGCUUUCCAUUUAGCAUCAAGAACUUCGUUGUUCAAUGGCACCAAUUUUGAUGCUAAUUUUGUCUCUGGUCGCUGGCAGAACUGUUCAGGAUUGAAAAUGUAGUUAAAAGAAAUGCUUACAAUUCAGAUGGGAAGAAGAGUGCUGGUUGACCCUGUCUAUCUCUAUCUCCAUAAACCUGUCUGUACUUGGAAGUUGUUUCUAGGAAAAUAUAAAUGGACUGUGGCUCUUUUUUUUUGGAUAAGCUAGUUGUAUGUCUUUAGUGGUACAAAGGGCAGUGAAUACACAAAGAUAGCGUCUUUAAUUAUGGAAAGAGCCUAUUAAAAUUCCAUUUUGUCUUAAGAAGUAAACAUAUAAAAGGAAUCUGGAGGAAGCCAAGCACCUCUUUAAAAUAAUGAUUGUCUUGGGCUAAUUCCUUUCCCGUGCCUUCAGCAUCAUUAGAUGCCAAUCCUACUGUGUAGGUUCAUUUGCAAACAAAACUGAUUAGAGACAGGAGGCUUGUGUGCAUGAGACUUCCCAAAAGCAGAGGUUUCAGAAACCUGCACAUUGUUUAAACUGGUUACCCUCAGCAGUACUUUUAUUUUCUCUCUAUGUGGGGUGAGGGUGAGGGGGAAAGAAGGUUGUUUAUUUCAAAGGGUAUUAGAACCCAUUCUUCAAAAGAGAACACUGAAAAAAGAGAAAAAAGGAUAUUAUGUAAAAACUCAGAAGGUUUUCAGAAUUUCCUUUUUUGCCCGUUAUAAACAUGAUCUUUCCCUUUGCUCUGAGCUCCCCCCUCUGGCAUUCAUGGCAUAUUUCUCUUUUUAUUACUGUAAACUUCAAAGCUCCCCCUCCAAGUCAUUUUGCAAACCCUCUAGACUGUAAAGUAAUGGUAGGGGCUGCUUUUAUUUCCCAGAGUUUAUGGUGGGGGUGGAUUGAGAAAUGUAGAGGAACUGCCUGGAACAUUUAUUAACUUUUAAUUUUGUACAGAAAAAAUCUGACACCAAGUACCAUAUACCAUUGAUGUUGCUUCAAAGAUACUUUGAGCUUGUUUAAGCAUUUUUUAAAGCUUGUGUGCCAGGACUGAAAUGAGGUGCCUUUAACACAGACCUCAGGAUUGUGCUGUCAUAAUAAAUAAAUCCAUAUAUCUCUUUGUUUUUGUAAUUAAAGCUUUAUCCUUCUUGUUUUUUGUCUUCAGUGGCUAUCUUUGUUCUGAUAGAGACUGACUGCUUUAUUAUAAGUAAACUCCUAACUAUUGCGUGAUAUUUUCUUUAAAAAGAAGACUAGUGAUGCCCAAUUUAUUUAGCACCAUCUAGGAAUCUGAUUUUCAGUGUUACCUAAUUUUCCAGAAAAUAAAAUCUCUUCCCUUUAAGCAUUGAAGGUUGUAUUUUAACAUCUUUAAUGGAAAUUUUAUAAAAUACAUUUUUCGGAUUUGGCCGUUUUGUCACAAUAUACUGAGCACAUUCAGACUUUUUUUUGGUGACUGAAGGGCUGUCAUUUUGAACCUGGCUAAUGGAUUCUUUGGUUGCACUUUUGCACAUUAACCUUCAUUGAAUUUAUUGUGAUAUGUCAGAGGUCAUCUUAUCACAGGUGAAGGCAUGGACAGUGUUCCACUGUGCUGAACCAGCCCCAGACUUCCAUUAAAAAAACAAAAACAACAAAAAAAAACUUACUUGUCUGCUCUUCAUGCCAUCUGUCUUUUUUUUCCCUUGCUUUUUGGGGGUAGAUUAUCAUGUCUAGCUGUUUAUUGUGUCUGUUUCAGACAAGCUCCUCUUGCUAAGUUCCUCAGCUAUUGUGGUAUAAGCUGGAAAGGCAGAGAAUCAAGGUGGUUAGAAUUGUGUGUAGAGUAAGUGACCAGAGAACACUCUCUGACAUCAUGCACAUGAAUUCCCGGCUAUGGAUUGUGUAGCAUAAGAAAAUUUUGCCCCUGGAAGUGUCCCUUUUUUCUUAAUUUUCUCUUCUUUAGUUUCUGCUAUUCUUAGUGGUCCAGGCUGCCAGGUAAAUUAGGUAUUACUCUGCUAAUAAUGGCAAUCAGAUGAUACCUGAAACACCUUUAUUGUAGAAUUCUCUCUGCCAGUCCUAUCCAUCUGUAUUUUUGUUACUUAAGUUUUACCUAUUCCAAGAAGAUCCGUUUCUGGAAAAAAUGCUCCAUUAUCUAGUAAUCUGUUAAUUUCUAUAAGUAUCUAGGUUGGGGGUAAAGCUUUUGCUGUUUAUUAUCCCACCUGGAUUGUGCUAAAUGGAUAAGUGAAUGAAUAAAUAUACUUCUUUUGAUACUGAAGCAAGUAGGUUUUUUUUCCCUUGUGAUUAAAUAUUUGUUUAGAUUUUUUUUUCCUUUGUAAUUUGUUCUUAUUUGUCCUUUAUUCUUUAGAGCAAUGUAAGAAAGGGCAUGUGAAAGAAUUUGAAUUAUCUCUUUUUUUUUUUUUUUUUUUUAAGUAGAUAGAAUUUCCUCUUGCUACUCAUUUCAAGAAAUUGGUGCUCUUGCAUCAGGACCUGGUUGUUUUUGAAAGACGUUUUUCUUGGCAUCCAUACAAACUAACAAUAUGGAUUGUAUGAAACCCAGAGUGGGGUGGGCCUUCCUUGUACUGCCUUCUGACUUUUUCAGCUGCUGUGUCUGUGCUUGCCCUCCUAUGCGCCCUGAGCCGUAUCCUCUGACUGAGAAGAUUUAGAAUUUGACUGUCCUCUUUAGGUCAGAUCUAUCAUUACUCAUAUAAAUGAUAUUCUUUUUGAGUUAGCUUUCUCUCCUUUCCUCUUCAUUUGGCAUCAAGACUAAAAAAUGAUGAAACUAACUUCCUUUCCAGUAAUGAGAGCCUUUUCUUUUUCUCUUCUUUGUCCCUCUUUCCCUGAGUGAAAGCAGUGUAGUGUU